rnacentral:rRNA from 1 species
GACAUAGGUGACGAACGUUAUCCGGAAUUAUUGGGCGUAAAGGAUGCGUAGAUGGUUCGAUAAGUUACUGGUGGGAAAUCGAGGCCCAACCUCGUGGAAGUUAGUAAUACUGCCGAACUUGAGUGCAGGAGAGGUUAACGGAACUUUAUGUGGAGCGGUAAAAUGCGUAGAUAUAUAAAAGAACACCAAUAUAGCGAAGGCAGUUAACUAUUCUGCUACUGACAUUGAGGCAUGAAAGCGUGGGGAGCAAAACGG